rnacentral:rRNA from 1 species
CCGGCGACCGGCGCACGGGUGAGUAACACGUAUGGAACCUGCCCGCAGCAGGGGGAUAAGCGGAAGAAAUUCCGUCUAAUACCGCGUAACAACGUUGGGAGGCAUCUCCCGAUGUUUAAAGAUUUAUCGGCUGCGGAUGGCCAUGCGGCGCAUUAGCUAGUCGGCGGGGUAACGGCCCACCGAGGCGACGAUGCGUAGGGGUUCUGAGAGGAAGGUCCCCCACACUGGUACUGAGACACGGGCCAGACUCCUACGGAAGGCAGCAG